rnacentral:lncRNA from 1 species
AAUUAGAGUAUGUGUAGUGGAAAUGCUAAGUCAAGGCUUGAAGCAGUGAUUGAGCACCUGGUGGGAAGGCAGGGUCAACUUGGGGGAGUGGCCGAAAUAGGGUCCCAGACCUCAUCUAUGGGAUAGCAGGGGAAAUGGAGGCAUCUUGCUGGCAAGUAAAAUAACAACUGAGAGAACUGAUUUUCUGAUGUAUACUGUCUGCCACAUUCUCUGGCUUUUGAAGUAAUUAGAAAAUAGAGCACAUCUUUCCAUCUUUGCGAAUAACUGGAAAUGACUUUUCCGGGUCACACUUGCAAUAUUUUUCUGUCCUGAGGAAUGAAGGAAGUCCAAAUGCCAGCAUGGAUGACUUUUUCUGAUUGAAUGAAUGGGACUUCUGAUCUGACACACCUGUUCCAGUAUCCUGAAAAGGCAAGGGAAGAACGAAAACAGGCUGCAAUCCAGCAGCUUGACGGGGGUCUGUCACUCUGCACACAGCUGGAAGGCUGCAGGAACAGAUGCACACUGUGUUACAAGUGCCAGCUCUGA